AUGUCCAAGUCCACAUACAACCACACACAACCAGGCCCGAAAAUGGAACAGAAAUGGCAUCAAGAAAUCCCAGUCCCAAAGAUAUGACUUUCUUAAGUGGGUGAACCCCAAGUUCCUGAGGAACAUGCACUUUGCCAAGAAGUACAAGAAGAAGUGCAUGAAGAAGAUGCAGGCCAACACCACCAAGGCCCUGAGUGCACACGCCGAGGCUAUCAAGACCCUUGUAAAGUCCAAAGAGGUUAAGCCCAAGAUCUCAAAGGGUGUCGGCAGCAAAAUUCAUCGACUUGCCUACAUUGCCCACUCCAAACUUGGGACGCAUGCUCAUGCCCGCACUGCUAAGGGUCUUAGGCUGUGCUGGCCAAAGGCCAAGAAUCAAACCAAGGCCCAGACUGCAGCUCCAGCUUCAGUUCCAGCUCAGGCUCUCAAAAGUGCCCACGCCCCUAAAAGGCUUCAGAGUAG
rnacentral:lncRNA from 1 species